GUCUCUGUGGGGCAUUGGUUAGCGCGUUAGACUGUUAAUCUAAAGGUUGGUGGUUCGAGCCCCCCAGAGACA